rnacentral:tRNA from 1 species
AGCCCGAUAGUCUAGCGGUCAAAUGAAUUUCAGACUAAGGAUUCUGCCCUCUGGAGGCAGAGACGGCAGUUCGAAUCUGCCUCGGGCUA